UUGAACGCUGGCGGCAUGCUUUACACAUGCAAGUCGAACGGUAGCAGGCCUUCGGGUGCUGACGCGUGGCGAACGGGUGAGUAAUGCAUCGGAACGUGCCCAAUCGUGGGGGAUAACGUAGCGAAAGUUACGCUAAUACCGCAUACGCCCUGAGGGGGAAAGUGGGGGACCGCAAGGCCUCACGCGAAUGGAGCGGCCGAUGUCAGAUUAGCUAGUUGGUGGGGUAAAGGCCCACCAAGGCGACGAUCUGUAGCGGGUCUGAGAGGAGGACCCGCCACACUGGGACUGAGACACGGCCCAGACUCCUACGGGAGGCAGCAGUGGGGAAUUUUGGACAAUGGGGGCAACCCUGAUCCAGCCAUGCCGCGUGAGUGAAGAAGGCCUUCGGGUUGUAAAGCUCUUUCAGACGGAAAGAAAACGCAGCGGUGAAUACCCGGUGUGGAUGACGGUACCGUAAGAAGAAGCACCGGCUAACUACGU
rnacentral:rRNA from 1 species